rnacentral:rRNA from 1 species
CGUACAAGGACGCUUCAACCGAGUCGGGUAGCUUGGGAAUGCUGCUCUAAUUGGUGGUAAAUCUCAUCAAAGGCUAAAUAGUGGUGGGAGACCGAUAGCGAACAAGUACCGUGAGGGAAAGAUGGAAAGAACUUUGAAAAGAGAGUGAAAAGCACUUGAAACCGUCACGGGGGAAGCGGAUUGCGUGAGUGAUGGUGUCGCUUGUUCAGCGCUUUAUUGCGUGCAUUCUGGCGGCGCCGUGCCGGCGUGGCUGGCUGGACUGUGAUUUUGACAGUCUCGGCUGGUGAGGGCUCCCUCGUAUGAGGUGAGGACGCGGGCAAAAUGACGCAAUACGACCCGUCUUGAAACACGGACCAAGGAGUCUAGCACGGCUGCGAGUCGAAGAGUGAUUAAACUCAAGGGCGCAGUGAAAGCGAAAUUAUAAGCAAAUUGGGGAGGCGUUGCGUUUUUAACAAAAUGUCCUACCUCGAGCAUUUGUGCUGGGACCCGAAAGAUGGUGAACUAUGCCGGAGUAGGGCAAAGCCAGAGGAAACUCUGGUGGAGGCUCGUAGCGAUGCUGACGUGCAAAUCGCUCGUCGAACUUGGGUAUAGGGGCGAAAGACUAAUCGAACCAUCUAGUAGCUGGUUCCCUCCGAAGUUUCUCUCAGGAUAGCGGGCCGACACGCGUUUGUUGUUUUGUGCGGUAAAGCGAAUGAUUAGUGCAUUUGGGGUACGAAGUACUUCGGGCGAUUCUCAAACUUUAAAUGCGCAAGGGGGUGGCUGCUUAAUUGAGCCUACUCUUUGAAAAACGUCGGCCCUGUGGGCCACUUUUGGUAAGCAGAACUGGCGAUAAGGGAUGAACCUUAAGCGCGGUUAA